rnacentral:rRNA from 1 species
GGCAACUACCACCCAGGGCCGGAAAGCUCUCCAAACUCGGUCAUUUAGAGGAAGUAAAAGUCGUAACAAGGUCUCCGUUGGUGAACCAGCGGAGGGAUCAUUACCGAGUUAUUCAACUCAUCAACCCUGUGAACUUACCUAUACGUUGCUUCGGCGGGAAUAGACGGCCCCGUAAAACGGGCCGCCCCCGCCAGAGGACCCUUAACUCUGUUUCUUUUAGUGUAUCUUCUGAGUAAAACAAGCAAAUAAAUUAAAACUUUCAACAACGGAUCUCUUGGCUCUGGCAUCGAUGAAGAACGCAGCGAAAUGCGAUAAGUAAUGUGAAUUGCAGAAUUCAGUGAAUCAUCGAAUCUUUGAACGCACAUUGCGCCCGCCAGUAUUCUGGCGGGCAUGCCUGUUCGAGCGUCAUUACAACCCUCAGGCCCCCGGGCCUGGCGUUGGGGAUCGGCGGAGCCCCCCGUGGGCACACGCCGUCCCCCAAAUACAGUGGCGGUCCCGCCGCAGCUUCCAUCGCGUAGUAGCUAACACCUCGCGACUGGAGAGCGGCGCGGCCACGCCGUAAAACACCCAACUCUUCUGAAGUUGACCUCGAAUCAGGUAGGAAUACCCGCUGAACUUAAGCAUAUCAAUAAGCGGAGGAAAAGAAACCAACAGGGAUUGCCCCAGUAACGGCGAGUGAAGCGGCAACAGCUCAAAUUUGAAAUCUGGCUCUCGGGCCCGAGUUGUAAUUUGUAGAGGAUGCUUUUGGUGAGGUGCCUUCCGAGUUCCCUGGAACGGGACGCCAUAGAGGGUGAGA